AUUGACCGCUGUCGGCAGGCCUAAAACAUGCAAGUCGAGCGAGCGGCGGACGGUUGAGUAAUGUCUGGGCAACUGCCUGAUGGAGGGGGAUUACUCCUGGAGACGGUAGCUAAUAACGCAUAACAUCAGAUGCACCCAGAUGAGAUUCUCUAGUCGGUGGGGUAACGGCUCACCUAGGCGCCGAUCCCUAGCUGGUCUCAGAGGAUGACCAGCCACACUGGAACGUGUACACAGUCCAGACUCCUACGGGAGUCAGAAGUGGGGAAUAUUGCACAAUGGGCGCAAGCCUGAUACAGCCAUGCCGCGUGAGGGAAGAAGGCCUUCGGGUUGUAAAGCACUUUCAGCGGGGAGGCGGUACCCGCAGAAGAAACACCGGCUAACUCGGGGCCAGCCGCCGCGGUAAUUC
rnacentral:rRNA from 1 species